rnacentral:rRNA from 1 species
GAUGAACGCUAGCGGGAGGCCUAACACAUGCAAGCCGAGCGGGAUUUGUUGGUUAGCUUGCUAACUAACAAUGAGAGCGGCGUACGGGUGCGUAGCACGUGUGCAACCUGCCUUUAUCUGGGGGAUAGCCUUUCGAAAGGAAGAUUAAUACCCCAUAACAUAUUGAUUGGCAUCAGUUAAUAUUGAAAGCUCCGGCGGAUAGGGAUGGGCACGCGUAAGAUUAGCUAGUUGGUGAGGUAACGGCUCACCAAGGCUGCGAUCUUUAGGGGGCCUGAGAGGGUGAUCCCCCACACUGGUACUGAGACACGGACCAGACUCCUACGGGAGGCAGCAGUGAGGAAUAUUGGACAAUGGGUGAGAGCCUGAUCCAGCCAUCCCGCGUGAAGGACUAAGGACCUAUGGGUUGUAAACUUCUUUUAUACAGGGAUAAACCUACUCUCGUGAGGGUAGCUGAAGGUACUGUAUGAAUAAGCACCGGCUAACUCCGUG